AACGCUUGUGGCACCAACUCGAUUUUUUCUCUCUCUGUUUCUUCUCUCUCUUCUCUCUUUCUGUCUGUGUGUGUCUGUGUGUGUAAACACCCAUGUGGUACACACACACGCCCCCCAUGUACACACAAGCAGGCGAUGUUGGGGUAACAAUAAAACACACAACCACCCAUACACAACCUCACACGCACACACAGGACUGUUGGGGCACAUGGUAGUGUUGGGGUAACAUGAAAACAUGCACACACACGGCCACAGAACUAUUCGGGUAUAUGUUGGUGUUGGGGUAACAUAAGACACAGAGACACACAGACAGACAGAGACAGAGAGACACACAUUCACACACACAGAGUCACACAGAGUCACACACAGUCACACACAGAGGCACAGAGACACACAUACAUAAACAGAGACACACACAGUCAAACGCACACAAAGACAGACACACACAGUCGAACACACACUAAGACAGAGACACACACAUACACACGAAGACAGAGACACACACACACACACACACACAUACACACAUACACACAUACAUACUCACACACAUAAACCUGCCUGUCAUGCAUUAUUCGUCUACGUCAUAUCCUGUCAGCCAAACAUCUCAUUUCCGAAUUGGUGGGUGCCCAUCAAACAGAUAGAGCAGCAUCCGAGCAGCAUCUCCUACUUCCUGCUCUGCUGCCGCUGAAAUGUUGCUGCUGCUUCCGAAACGGAGGAUGCUGCCCUGCUGCACCGGAGGCAGGCGGCUAUAGCCCAUGCUACCAUCCCGUCCUUGAUGACCACGCCGGUUCUCAGCACGUGUUCCCCACACAAGAUGAAACGGGUUGAUGCAUGCACGCUCGUCACAGAUGUGCAUCGCAUCAUACUGUGUGUGCGGCAGCACAUGUUGUUGUUGAGGUUGCUGCUGGGGUUGUUGCUGCUGCAUAGACGGGACAGCAGACACUGGAUGAUGGUUGGGCAACAGGAGGGAUGGAGGAGGUCCACGGAAGGCCCACAAAAUGAGCCGGCAUGCGUUUGUGGAGCUUGUGUACACAUCAAGAUCCGCACCCCCCUUACUGCAAUAAGCGGCCUUGGUGUUCUUGCAUUUUACCUGUGUCUUCUUGCCCCGCUGCAGCUGUUGCUUCUGGGGUUUGGUGCCCUGCUUCUUGGGGCGGGCAUCCUGCUGCACCGUCAUUGUGUUUGCCAUCAUUGUCACUGUUGUCUGAUGCUGCUUCUGCUUCUGCUUCUGCUUCUGCUGCUGCUGGCUUCUGGUGUUUGGACGACGGUGGCUGUUGCUCCCAGGAGCAGCAGCAGCAGCAGCAGCAGCAUCCAUGGGCAGCUCUUGUUUUUGCGGCUGCUUCUGCAGUGAUACUAAUUGCCAUGGUCCUGUGAUCAUGACCCGGGGAUAGUCACUGCGAUGCUGCUUGCUGAGGAUAAUGUCUAUCUUUGCACCAGCAGCACCAGCAGCACCAGCAGCAGCACCAGCAGCACCAGCAGCACCAGCACCAGCAGCACCAGCACCAGCAGCACCACCAGCAGCANNNNNNNNNNNNNNNNNNNNNNNNNNNNNNNNNNNNNNNNNNNNNNNNNNCUUUCUGUCUGUGUGUGUCUGUGUGUGUAAACACUCAUGUGGUACACACACACGCCCCCCAUGUACACACAAGCAGGCGAUGUGUGGGGUAACAAUAAAACACACAACCACCCACACACAACCUCACACGCUCACACACACAGGACUGUUGGGGCACAUGGUAGUGUUGGGGUAACAUGAAACACACGCAAUCACAGUCCUGAUGGGGCACAUGUUGGUGUUGGGGUAACAUAAGACACAGAGACACACAGACAGACAGAGACAGAGAGACACACACUCACACACACAGAGUCACACAGAGUCACACAGAGUCACACACAGUCACACACAGAGGCACAGAGACACACAUACAUAAACAGAGACACACACAGUCAAACGCACACAAAGACAGACACACACAGUCAAACACACACUAGUACAGAGACACACACACAUACACACAAAGACAGAGACACACACACACACACAUACACACAUACACACAGACAUACUCACACACAUAAACCUGCCUGUCAUGCAUUAUUCUUCUACAUCAUAUCCUGUCAGCCAGCCAAACAACUCAUUUCCGAAUUGGUGGGUGCCCAUCAAACAGAUAGAGCAACAUCCGAGCAGCAUCUCCUACUUCCUGCUCUGCUGCCGCUGAAAUGUUGCUGCUGCUUCCGAAACGGAGGAUGCUGCCCUGCUGCACCGGAGGCAGGCGGCUAUAGCCCAUGCUACCAUCCCGUCCUUGAUGACCACGCCGGUUCUCAGCACGUGUUCCCCACACAAGAUGAAACGGGUUGAUGCAUGCACGCUCGUCACAGAUGUGCAUCGCAUCAUACUGUGUGUGUGGCAGCACAUGUUGUUGUUGAGGUUGCUGCUGGGGUUGUUGCUGCUGCAUAGACGGGACAGCAGACACUGGAUGAUGGUUGGGCAACAGGAGGGAUG
rnacentral:lncRNA from 1 species